rnacentral:rRNA from 1 species
CACGUAGGGUGCGAGCGUUGUCCGGAAUUAUUGGGCGUAAAGAGCUCGUAGGCGGUGUGUCGCGUCGGCCGUGAAAACCUGCAGCUUAACUGUGGGCUUGCGGUCGAUACGGGCAUCACUGGAGUUCGGCAGGGGAGACUGGAAUUCCUGGUGUAGCGGUGAAAUGCGCAGAUAUCAGGAGGAACACCGGUGGCGAAGGCGGGGUCUCUGGGGCCGAUACUGACGCUGAGGAAGCGAAAGCGUGGGGAGCGAACAGG